GACGAACCGUGCGAACGUUAUUCGGAAUCACUGGGCUUAAAGCGCGUGUAGGCGGGAGGGCACGUCCGUCGCUGAAAUCCCCCGGCUCAACCGGGGAACGGGCGCGGAUACGACCUUCCUGGAGGGGCGUAGGGGGACCUGGAACUUCCGGUGGAGCGGUGAAAUGCGUUGAGAUCGGAAGGAACGCCCGUGGCGAAAGCGACUCACUGGGUCUUCUCUGACGCUGAGGCACGAAAGCUAGGGUAGCGAACGGG
rnacentral:rRNA from 1 species